UUCAAGUAAAACGAAAAGCUUUACAAGUGAAGAAUGUGACUUGCUGAUCAACUCUCUCCAUGGGAGGAGAGGCGUUGGUAUCAUGCCUUAUUGGACACUGCUCGAAGGCAUGCAAUCUUUUUGCUUUCUGUCUUCUUUUACCAGCAAUUUGUUGGUUGCAAUUCUCUGUCAAUGUCCCACACAUGUUGGUCUUUUGCCUUACUUCUAUGUUCUUUCCUGUCUCAGCUUUCAUGGGGAUCGGGCACUUCCUUCAUACCUUUGUUUGAUUCAGUUUUGGAGCUCUGCAAGAAACAGAAAAUAGCAAAGCUUAGACUCUGGUUCAGUAUGAGGUGGAUGUGUAAGUAGUGCGCCCUCCGAUUUUAUCGGAUGUCUAGUAUUCAUGGUAUAUUUUCUUAUUGAAGGCUUGGUAGAAAACUUUCUUAAACCAGGCUUUUGGUAAAAGUGGAGCAAUCGACGUUUCUUCCAUGCCCAAAAUCGUUUUUCUGCUAACUUUCUUUGUCUCUUUUUCCUCCCUUUUCAUCUCUUCCUCUCUUUGCCUAAGCCCCAUUCGUCUCCUCACCGUCACCGUCACCGUCACCGUCGGCUUACCCGCACCUCCACCUCCUCCUCCCCCUCCCACCAAGAACGCUGCAGAAACCCUCAGAUGGACGACGACGACGACCACCUAUCCUCCUCCUCCCCCUCCCUGGGUCCCCGGCUUCAGCCUCUCUUCCGCUAUCUCCUUCUUCUGCCGCACAGGAGACGAAGAGAUGCGAGGCUUUUUAGGUUCAGAGGAGGAAGAAAGAGAGGGAAACACUCAGCUGACUCUAGGGCUGGCCAAUCGGGCCGGGCCGGGGCAUAACAAACUUUCGAUUGCUGAAAAUUUCAGUCGCGAACAAAGAGUCCACCUUCGUGACAAAGAAAACCGAAACAAGAACGCACAGCAAGGGGACUUGGAGACAAUAUGGUGAAACUGAAACAGUGACGAAGACGGGUACUAACGAAGCAUUUGGAACCAAGACAGUGUUUCAAUUCUUUCAUCCCGGAGGAACUCCGAGUUGCUGGUUUGUUACUGAAUAUUGUCUUGAUAAAGGCUUUCGAACCAGUCACGAAUUUCCAAUCAAGCCGGAACAGGAUUACGUAGUUUGCAAGCUAGAAUUUGUGUCCCAGCCGCUGGAUGAAGGUUCCUCGUCUUGGCCAUUAUGGAAGCAAAAGACUGAAGUUCUACGAGCGAGUCCAAGCAGAAGUUAAAGAAGCAAGUUCUAUGACCGAGUGAAAGCAGAAGAACGGGUACUAGCUAGAUAUAGAAUAGCGGUUCCAGCAUUAUGUAAUAGGGAAAAUUUAGUUCUGAUAUAAUAAUUGUACUCAAUCUAAAUA